UCUACAGGCGGCUGCGGAGUCCUGAAGUGAGAAACAUCUGGGCGCUCCGGUGCACUAGAGGCCCCACCUCUCACCCUUGUCUGUAAGGAGUCUGGCUCACGCCGCCUACCCGGCAACCUCCAACGCCAAGCGCGCAGAACCAGCUCUGGCCCACACGCUCUGCGGGACCUGCGGGACCACCGCAGCCCAGACUGGGGAAGUGAAGUGCGCAUGCUCCAGCCACAGAGCCACAGCCCUCCAGGAGGACAAAGGAGAAGCGCGGAGCUUCUGGAUCACAAAUAAUUGAUCUCUUCAUGUGUUAAGAAAUAUUUGGAAGUAGAUAGACACAAAAAUUUGCAGUAAAGACCUUGGAGCACAGAUGAUAGAGAGACAGAGCAUGAACGGGCGAGGGUCAGAGAGAGAGGGAGACACAGAAUCGGAA